rnacentral:rRNA from 1 species
UACGUAGGGGGCAAGCGUUGUCCGGAAUCAUUGGGCGUAAAGAGCGUGUAGGCGGCUCGGUAAGUCCGCUGUGAAAGUCCAGGGCUCAACCCUGGAAUGCCGGUGGAAACUGUCGAGCUUGAGUCCGGAAGAGGCGAGUGGAAUUCCUGGUGUAGCGGUGAAAUGCGCAGAUAUCAGGAGGAACACCAAUGGCGAAGGCAGCUCGCUGGGACGGUACUGACGCUGAGGAGCGAAAGCGUGGGGAGCAAACAGG